ACACAUAGAUGUACAGACACAUUUUAAAAUUAACAAUAAAAACCAGCAGCUUUGUGAAACUCUAUAUCAAAAUGCAUUUCUCCAUCGUGUUUCUAGCCAUGGUGGCCUUGUUUGGAGUAAUACCCUCGGCAUACAGCGGUGUUCAGGAAUGUGCCUGUGGACGCGAAUGGACGGUGUUUACUGUCCCGUGUCCCUGCGGUUGCUCUCUUGGUUUUGGGGCAGCCAACGAAUGUUGUCUGUCAUGCAACGGUCGUUAAGUUUUUGCAGGUAAUGAUGAUGAAUCAUGGCAUUGGGGACGAUAAAUGGCUAUCACAACUUGCAGAGCAUCGUUCAGCUAAUCACAGAUUUCUGAAACCCAUCAUCGUGAACUCAAGCACUUUGAUUAUGACGAUGCACAGCUGUCUUCGAAAAAUAAAUAAUAUAUACCGACCUGAAAA